GUUUAAUUGACUCACAGUUCCACAUAGCUGGGGAGGCCUCACAAUCACAGCAGAGGGCAAAUGAGGAGCAAAGGCAGCAGGCAAGAGAGCUUGUGCGGGGGAACUCCCCUUUAUAAAACCAUCAGAUCUCAUGAGACUUAUUCACUAUCACGAUAUCAGCACAGGAGAGACCCACCCCCAUGAUUCAAUUACCUCCCACAGGGUCCCUCUCACAACACAUGGGAAUUAUGGGAGCUACAAUUCAAGAUGAGAUUUGAGUGAGGACACAGCCAAACUGUAUCAAACAUCAAUUCAUUUAAUUAUCUCAAGGACCCUGUAUUAGCCUGUUCUUGCAUUGCUAUAAAGAAACACCUGAGGCUGGUUAAUUUGUAAGGAAAAGAGGUUUAAUUGCUCAUGGUUCUGCAGGCUGUAAAGGAAGCAUGAUGCUGGCUGGCAUCUGCUCAAGGCCUCAGGAAACUUACAAUCAUAGUGGAAGGAGAAGGAAGAGCUUGUACUUCACAUGGUUAAAGCAGGAUCAAGGCGGAGGGGAAGGUGCACACACUUUUAAACAACCAGAUCUUAGGAGAAUUCACUCACUAUCAUGAGGAUGUUACCAAAGGGAUGGUACUAAACCAUUUGUAUUCGUCUGUUUUCACACUGCUUUGAAGAUACUACCUGAGACUGGGUAAUUUAUAAACAAAAGAGAUUUAAUUGACUCACAGUUCUGCAUGGCUGAAGAGGCCUCAGGAAACUUACAGUCAUGGUGGAAGGCAAAGGAGGAGCAAGGCAUGUCUUACAUGUCAGUAGGAGAGAGAGCGAGAGCAGGAGAACCUGCCACUUAUAAACCAUUCAGAUCUCAUAACUCCCUAUCAUGAGAAAAACAUGGAGGAAACCACCCUCAUGAUCCAAUCACCUCCCGCCAGGUCCCUCCCUCGACACGUGGGGAUUAUAAUUCAGGAUUAGAGGGACACAGAGACAAACCAUAUCAUCAUUCAUGAGAAAUCCACCCUCAUAGUCCAAUCAGCUCCUACCAGGCCCCACCUCCAACACUGGGGAUUGCAAUUCAACAUGAGAUUUGGAUGGGGACACAGAUUCAAACCAUAUCAUACCCUGUGAAUUUCCUCUCAUUUUUAAAAUGACAUAACUGAGUAUUUCAAGUUACUCAUCCAAAGCAACAGCUAGCCACUGAUAGAGCUAACAUUUGAACCCAGCAUUCAGUUCCAGAACUGUGGUAGACUUCUAUUUGCCAAAUAUUCCUGAUCCCUCCUUAGCCCCACCUUCUGGGCACAUCACAGGUGUAUUAGUCCGUUCUCACGCUGCUAAUAAAGACAUACCCGAGCCUGGGUAAUUUAUAAAGGAAAGAGGUUUAAUUGACUCACAGUUCCACAUGGCUGGGGAGGCUUACAAUCACAGCAGAAGGCAAAUGAGGAGGAAAGUCAUGUCUUACGUGGCAGCAGGAAAGAGAGCUUGUGCAGGGGAACUCCGCUUUAUAAAGCCGUCAGAUCUCAUGAGACUGUCACCAUCAUGAGAAUGGCAAAGAAAAGACGCGCCCCCAUGAUUCAAUUACCUCCCACCAGGUCCCUCCCACAACACAUGGGAAUUAUGGGAGCUACAAUUCAAGAUGAGAUUUGGGUUGGGACACAGCAAAACCAUAUCAACAGGACUACAUUUCUUGGGCUCUGGUAUUUGGUGGGGCCUUGUGACUGGUGCUGGGCAAUGAGUUGUGAACAGAGGUAAUGUAUAUCACUCAUUACCCAGGCUGAGCCAAUGUGCAUUCCCCCAGAAUGCACUGUGCCCCUCUGCCAUGCUCCCUGGCAAUAUUCCAGAAAGUUCCCGCCUGAGUCCCAGAAUAUGGAUGACAAUGACAAGCGGGCUAUCACCUCAGCUUCUGGUGAUAGAUACAGAGUGUAAGAAAUACACUUUCAUUAUCUUAAUCCAUUAAGAUAUGGGGUCAUUGCCAUAAGAGUGAGGAAGACAGCUAGUUUUGAAGGAAGAGAAAGGACAAAGCUUAUGAAGGGAUUUCUGGGGUGACUACCUAUGCUCUAUUUCCCAACCCCAGUGCUGGUUACAGGGACAUUAGCUUUCUAAUAAUAUGAUAAAUAUUUGUUUUGUGUGGGUUUCUGUAUCUUUUUAUUUGACAUGAAAAAGUUACAAAAUGUUUAAGGGUUAUUACCACACCCUAAUGCAACCAAAGCUGACUGAUACACCAUCGUGGUCCCUUUUAUACCAUGCUUUCUUAUGUCUCAGUUAUCCCCCUUCUGCUUCAAUGUCAACAAAUUUCUAUCUUCUGAGAUAUGAGAACUAAAACGUUUGUUUUUUCUGAUAAGUCUAAGUCUCUUAAUGGAAAGGACAAAGCAGAAAUUUGAAAUGAAACAUGAAAUGCAUUAUGGAGGCAAAAAGUCUUCAAAUCUGCCUUGUCUAGAAUUUCCUUAGGGAUUAUGGCUUCAUUACAAAAGGCAAGACAUGACUGACCCUGAAAUAGAGAAUGCCAAUACUGGACCUCACCUGAACCCUCUCUCUGAGUCUACUUUUCCCUCUUCCAGAUCCCACAACACAACUCCUUAUGGUUAAUUUUUAAUGCGUGGCACUUUUUCUUUUUUUUUUUUAAGACGGAGUAUCACUCUGUCACCCAGGCUAGAGUGCAGUGGUGCAAUCUCAUGCUCACUGCAAGCUCCACCUCCCAGGUUCAUGCCAUUCUCCUGCUUCAGCCUCCCUAGUAGCUGGGACUACAGGCAUAUGCCACCACACCCGGCUAAUUUUUU
rnacentral:lncRNA from 10 species